AGCGAACGUUUGCGGCGGGCCUAACACAUGCAAGUCGAACGCACUAGCAAUAGUGAGUGGCGCACGGGUGCGUAACACGUGGGUAAUCAACCCUUCAGCUUGGGAUAACGACUUGAAAGGGUCGCUAAUACCGGAUACGGCGAGAGAGGCUUCGGCAUUUCUCGAGAAAGCCUCGCAAGGGGCACUGAAGGACGAGCCUGCGGCCCAUCAGCUAGUUGGUGAGGUAAGAGCUCACCAAGGCGAAGACGGGUAGCUGGUCUGAGAGGAUGAUCAGCCACACUGGAACUGAGACACGGUCCAGACUCCUACGGGAGGCAGCAAUGGGGAAUAUUGCGCAAUGGGCGAAAGCCUGACGCAGCCACGCCGCGUGAGUGAUGAAGGCCUUCGGGUCGUAAAGCUCUGUGGGGAGAGACGAAGAAAGCCCGUGAAGAGCGGGCCUUGACGGUAGUCUCCUUAGCAAGCACCGGCUAACUCCGUGCCAGCAGCCGCGGUAA
rnacentral:rRNA from 1 species